GCGGUUUUAUCGAAGGCAGUUGGAGUACAAUGAACCGACUGCUGAAGGGGGAGUCACAACGGCUGCGUGAUGAGAGGCCGCCAUUAACUUGAGUUCAAAGGAAAAGGAAAUUGCUUAUUGUUCAGCGUGCGUUGUGCUCCUCCGGUCUCCAGUCUCCAGCCUUUCCAUUGUCUGUGCCUCGGGGAUUUGCGAAUUUUCAGCCAGUUCAAUGCACACCGUUGAGGUUGAAAGGUCGCCACGCCGAGAUUUACGGGCAGGUUAACUUGAACUUAACUGCCAUUUUCCAACGGAGUGGGUGGCCAAGAAAAAGUAAUUAAGAGCAAUCAAUUGGCAAUCAUCAUUUGUUUUAAAGUGAGUUGCGCCACCUCGUCCCUUGCCAGGGACCUGCAGGGGUCUCCAUCAGGGGCUGUUACUCUCAGAUCGAAUUCUUUGCUGCGCAGGGUUCGAGGUUUAGUUUGUAGGUGCAGGUUAUAAUAUUCUGAAUGACACCCAAUCAUUGGAUUAUUUCUUUAGCCACCACAGUUAUUUAUUAUUACAUAUAUCCGGGAUGAGCUUCCAUCGUGUUUGUUCCCAAAAACCAAAUGGUAAACUUCAAAGAAUCUUAAAACAAAAACCAGGAGUAGUUCGGUGUAAUUUUAAUUGU